AUGUCUCACACCCUGUGCUGUCACCCGGGCCGGGGCGGGUCUGUUGGGGGCGGGCAGAGGCGGCGGCGCUGCCCGGUGAGGGGCCGAGGAGGCGGAGCGGGCAGGAGAGGUCCAGAGCCCGACUCCCCUCGGCUCCUCUCCGGCUCUCCCGUGAUGGUCCCCGUGCUGGGCCCGUGGCUGCUGGCCUUGGCGUUGGCCUUGGGGUCGGCAGGGGUGCGGGCGCGCUUCAGGCUGGAGGAGACCGGCGGAGGGCUGCGAGCGCCCGGGGACUCCGUGCUCCUCUCCUGCCGCGGAUACGGCCUCAACUUCGAGGAUUACCCCUUUCGGUGGUACCGUCAGGCGCCCGGAGGCAGGCUCGAGUGGGUGUCCCUUUCGUGGUCAUUGGGUGCUGCAGAGUACGCAGCAGCGGUGGAAGGUCGAGCCACAACAUCCUGGGACAAUUCGCAAUCCAAGUCAUCUCUGUUCCUGCGUGCCUUGCAGCCUCAGGACUCUGCCCGCUACUUCUGUGCCGUUCACACAGAGACACGAAAUCCACCUGGGCUUUAACACAUACCUGCUGUCAGGGUCCCAGAUUGGGCCUUGGAGCUGUAUAGGAUAGGGGUUAAGCUUCUGCUACCUUUCUUCCCAUGCUUCAAGCCAAACCUCAGGCCUCUCACAGUCUGAAACCUCUUCACCUUUGGAAACAAGUUUUGCUGUUUCCACCAGUUCCCACUAU